UACGUAGGCAGCGAGCGUUGUUCGGAGUUACUGGGCGUAAAGGGUGUGUAGGCGGUUGUUUAAGUUUGGUGUGAAAUCUCCCGGCUCAACUGGGAGGGUGCGCCGAAUACUGAAUGACUAGAGUGCGGGAGAGGUGAGUGGAAUUCCUGGUGUAGCGGUGAAAUGCGUAGAUAUCAGGAGGAACACUGGUGGUGUAGACGGCUCACUGGACCGUAACUGACGCUGAGACACGAAAGCGUGGGUAGCAAACAGG
rnacentral:rRNA from 1 species